UACAGAGGUCUCGAGCGUUGUUCGGAUUCAUUGGGCGUAAAGGGUGCGUAGGUGGCACUGUAAGUCGGGUGUGAAAUCCUGAGGCUUAACCUCGGAACUGCAUUCGAUACUGCGGUGCUUGAGGACUGGAGAGGAGACUGGAAUUCAUGGUGUAGCAGUGAAAUGCGUAGAGAUCAUGAGGAAGACCAGUGGCGAAGGCGGGUCUCUGGACAGUUCCUGACACUGGGGCACGAAGGCCAGGGGAGCAAACGGG
rnacentral:rRNA from 1 species